AUGUCCUCAUUGUCAAGUGGGUUUCAGUCCUUCCUAGAGGAGACAAAUUCAGAGCCAUCUAAAUCUGAAUUGACCAGUUACCUUGAAGACAAAACCCAUCCAAUUCUGGAUCCAAAGUUCAGUGUAGUUGAUUGGUGGAGGUUGAAUGCUCAUAGAUAUCCUAUCAUGGCAAAGAUGGCAAAGAAGUUCUUGACUAUACCAGCAACUAGUGUCUCAUCGGAGUCAACAUUCUCUACGAGCGGCAGAAUUCUUGAUGACUAUCGUAGCUCUCUCAGCCCAAACAUGGUUGAGGCACUUGUGUGUGCUUCUAACUACAUUAAAGAAUCAAAAGAAAACCAACUUAAGCCUACAAUUGUAGUGGAAGAUGGCAAUGAUGAUGAUGUCGAGUUCAUUCCAUUUCCUGAAGAUACGACGGAAAGCAACUAG
rnacentral:rRNA from 1 species